ACAUUCAUCUUUAAAUGUAAAUAAACUUUCAAAUUCAUCCUUUCAGAAUUGUUAUGUAUAAAACCUGGUGCCUGUUAAGUCUUUAACUUCUCUAUUUGAAUAAAAUCACUUAAUGAAACUCUGGUAGCUUCUUUCACCUCAAGUCCUCAAAUAUAUUUUCCCUGGAUAUGGAAUUCUGGACUGACAGUUCUUAAGGAUGAUGCUCUGUUGUCUUCUAGCCUUCACAGUUGCUGAUGAGAAACCUACUGCCUUUCAAAUCACUGUUUCCCUGUGUGUAAGGCACUAUUCUUUGCUAGUUUCAUCAGUUUUACGGCAGCUUGAUUAUGUGUCUAGACAUAGCUUUCUUUCAGUUUAUCCUGUUUAGGAUUCACUGACCUUCUUGAAUCUGUAAACCUAUGUCUUGUACCAAAUUUGGAAAGUUUUAUCUAUUAUUUCUUCAAAUAUUUUCCUGUAGCAAUCUCAUUCUUCUCUUCUGGGGACUCCAAUGACAUGAAUGUUUGACCUUUUGAUAUGGUCCAAGAGGUCUCUGAAACAGUUCCUUUGUUUGACAUCUUUUUCUCUUUCUGUUAUUCAGAAUGGAUAAAUCUUUAAACUGAGUGAUACUUUCCUGUGUUAUCCUCAUUCUGCUAUUGACCUAUCCAGUGAAUUUUGUUCUUUAAGACAUUGUAGUUUUAAUUCUAAAAAUUUCCCUUGAUUCUCUUUUAAAGUUUCUGUUUCUCUGUUGUGAACCUCUGCUUUUCCACUCAUCAGUGUUUACCUUUAUUUCACAGAACAUGAGAUAAAAUCUUUGAUAAAUCCAAUAAGUGGGUCAUUUCGAGGUUGGCAUAUACUGAUUCUUUUCCCAAAACAACUGAUGUUAUCCACAUCCACCUCUUCUUCACUCUAGAGAUUCAGACCAGAACACAGUCAGUUUCCUGAGCAUAUUUAGGACCUGGCUUACUAAUGACUCCAAAAGGAGGAGAUGUCAUCCUUUCCCUUCGAGCUGAAUUCUGAGAAGCAUGAAGAGGAUGAUUUGGAUGUCCCGGAUCACCAGCAGAUGCUAAUGCAGAACCAUAACGUAAUUGAGCUUCAGUAGAAUCCAUAAUACUGACCAUCCAGUUCCAAGUGGGAAUAAGCUUUUCUUCUACAUAGUUCUACGAAGACCAAACUAAAAUAGUUAAAACUAUCCAGAUAAAGUCAAAUUUGAUAGAGUAGUAUGAUACAAACAUUUAACUCCUAACAUUAUUUCCCAUCAUACUGGAAUUCUCAUGACAGACAGCCAAAAAAUAUAUUUGAAUGGGUAACUUUUCAAUGGUUCAUACCUGUAAGUUUACUGCAUCUUGGUAAGUCAGUUUCACAGCUGCUGGAAUCUGAGAGUAUACUAGGUGAUUAUACUUAGGAAUAAGGCCCAUCAAGUCCGAGAUUUGCCUGAUGACAAUGCUAUAAGCCCUGGCUAAACUGCUUGCAGAUGUUAAGUAGCUGCUGGCAUUGCUAGCUUCCAAAGCAGCUGCUGCAGCGGCAGCACUCGUGCUGAUGGUACCACUCCGGCGUAAGUUUGAAGGAUCAAUGUAAAUCAACCCCGCUGAACUUGCUGUAAGGAAAAGAAGGACAACCACAAUAAACUAAUGUCAGUCGCUAA